GGCGUGGUUGACACGCAGACCUCUUACAAGAGUGUCUAGGUGCCUUUGAGAGUUACUCUUUGCUCUCUUCGGAAGAACCCUUAGGGGUUCGUGCAUGGGCUUGCAUAGCAAGUCUUAGAAUGCGGGUACCGUACAGUGUUGAAAAACACUGUAAAUCUCUAAAAGAGACCA
rnacentral:tRNA from 1 species